rnacentral:rRNA from 1 species
GAUGAACGCUAGCUACAGGCUUAACACAUGCAAGUCGAGGGCCCGGCGCACGGGUGAGUAACACGUAUCCAACCUGCCCUUUACUCGGGGAUAACCUUUCGAAAGAAAGAUUAAUACCCGAUAUAAAGGAUGGGGAUGCGUUCCAUUAGGUUGUUGGUGAGGUAACGGCUCACCAAGCCUUCGAUGGAUAGGGGUUCUGAGAGGCAGGGCCCCCACAACGGAACUGCGACACAGGCCACACUCGUACGGGGGGCAGCAGUGAGGAGUACUGGGGAAUGGGGGCUAGCCUGGACCAGCCAAGUAUCGUGAAGGAUGAAUGCUUAGUGGUCGUAAUAUUGUUGUAUAGAAGAAGCUGUAUUAUAUGAAGAAGGAUCGGCUAACUCCGUGCCAGCAGCCGCGGUAAUAC